rnacentral:rRNA from 1 species
GAUAAUCGGUACGGGUUGUGAGAGCAAGAGCCCGGAGACGGUAUCUGAGACAAGAUACCGGGCCCUACGGGGCGCAGCAGGCGCGAAACCUUUACACUGCACGCGAGUGCGAUAAGGGGACUCCAAGUGCGAGGGCAUAUAGUCCUCGCUUUUCUCGACCGUAAGAAGGUCGAGGAACAAGUGCUGGGCAAGACCGGUGCCAGCCGCCGCGGUAAUACCGGCAGCACGAGUGAUGACCGCUAUUAUUGGGCCUAAAGCGUCCGUAGCUGGCCAUGCAAGUCCAUCGGGAAAUCCGCGCGCUUAACGCGCGGGCGUCCGGUGGAAACUGCAUGGCUUGGGACCGGAAGACCUGAGGGGUACGUCUGGGGUAGGAGUGAAAUCCCGUAAUCCUGGACGGACCACCGGUGGCGAAAGCGCCUCAGGAAGACGGAUCCGACGGUGAGGGACGAAAGCUCGGGUCACGAACCGGAUUAGAUACCCGGGUAGUCCGAGCUGUAAACGAUGUCUGCUAGGUGUGCCACAGGCUACGAGCCUGUGGUGUGCCGUAGGGAAGCCGUGAAGCAGACCGCCUGGGAAGUACGUCCGCAAGGAUGAAACUUAAAGGAAUUGGCGGGGGAGCACUACAACCGGAGGAGCCUGCGGUUUAAUUGGACUCAACGCCGGACAUCUCACCAGCAUCGACAGUAGCAAUGAAGGUCAGUGUGAUGAGCUUACUGGAGCUACUGAGAGGAGGUGCAUGGCCGCCGUCAGCUCGUACCGUGAGGCGUCCUGUUAAGUCAGGCAACGAGCGAGACCCGCACUCCUAAUUGCCAGCAGUA